rnacentral:rRNA from 1 species
AUUGAACGCUGGCGGCAUGCCUUACACAUGCAAGUCGAACGGCAGCACGGGAGCAAUCCUGGUGGCGAGUGGCGAACGGGUGAGUAAAGUAUCGAAACGCGCCCAGUCGGGGGGGAUAACGUAGCGAAAGUUACGCUAAUACCGUAUACGAUCUAUGGGUGAAAGCGGGGGAUUGCAAGACCUCGCGCGAUUGAAGCGGCCGAUAUCAGAUUAGGUAGUUGGUGGGGUAAAGGCUCACCAAGCCGACGAUCUGUAGCUGGUCUGAGAGGACGACCAGCCACACUGGGACUGAGACACGGCCCAGACUCCUACGGGAGGCAGCAGUGGGGAAUUUUGGACAAUGGGCGAAAGCCUGAUCCAGCCAUGCCGCGUGCAGGAUGAAGGCCUCCGGGUUGUAAACUGCUUUUGUACGGAACGAAAAGGUUUGGCCUAAUAAGCUGAGCUCAUGACGGUACCGUAAGAAUAAGCACCGGCUAACUACGUGCCAGCAGCCGCAGUAA